CCCCUCUCAGAGUCACACCUGGAGAGUUUCCAGUACUCUACCAGUCUCGACUAUGGGAGGGAAAGCAAAGCAGAGGCCUACUCAUUCCAUUCCUUCCUUGGGCAGUGGCUAGUGAGUGGAAGGCAAUCUGCUACAAGU